rnacentral:lncRNA from 1 species
GAAAAUACAAAUUUAGCUGAAACAUGUUGCUGGUUUAAGACAAAGUUGGAAGGAAAUAAAAGAAGUAAAUACAUGCCUUCUAAGCUAUAUGGCCGGGUAUAAAUUUUUAAAAACUAUAAUUCAACAUGUUUCAAGUUGAAAUUGUAUAAAAUCGUGUUUAGGUUUUUCAAAACAUACCCCGCUGGAUAAAAAAUUUAGGUGGCAAAACAACUGGAUCAAAAUACAUACAUACCGUACAUCUACUGCAUUUACAUGAUCCUCAUUCUUUUUUUGCAUUAUAUUUUCUUAAAACAUAUUAUGGAAUUUAUUUAUAUCUAUAUCGUAUAUUUCUUUCGGGUUUCUCCAUAAGCGUGUUAUUGAAUAUUCUUCUUAUACCGAAUUGCCUCCAAAAGGAUCAAUGCAGUUUUGAAAUAUUAUUCAAUGUAUGCAUAAGUAAUCUCUGUUGUGUUUUGACACAGUCCCCGCAUUUAAAGUGUAAUUUGUCAACC